AUUGAACGCUGGCGGAAUGCUUUACACAUGCAAGUCGAACGGUAGAGGGGGCAACCCCUCGAGAGUGGCGAACGGGUGAGUAAUAUAUCGGAACGUGCCCAGUCGUGGGGGAUAACGUAGCGAAAGUUACGCUAAUACCGCAUACGAUCUAAGGAUGAAAGCGGGGGAUCGCGAGACCUCGCGCGAUUGGAGCGGCCGAUACCAGAUUAGGUAGUUGGUGGGGUAAAGGCUCACCAAGCCAACGAUCUGUAGCUGGUCUGAGAGGACGACCAGCCACACUGGAACUGAGACACGGUCCAGAAUCCUACGGGAGGCAGCAGUGGGGAAUAUUGGACAAUGGACGCAAGUCUGAUCCAGCCAUUCCGCGUGCAGGAUGAAGGCCCUCGGGUUGUAAACUGCUUUUGUACGGAACGAAAAGGUCUCUCUUAAUACGGGGGGCUCAUGACGGUACCGUAAGAAUAAGCACCGGCUAACUACGUGCCAGCAGCCGCCGUAA
rnacentral:rRNA from 1 species